UUUUUUUGGUCAAUUGGGUCUUUGUUUAGUGUUCAUAAAUACAGCUUCACUCUAGUGCUGCUUGCUCACAGAGCCAAAAACAUUGAUUGAUAGGAGGAGGAGAGAUGAGCAGCAGCAGCGGCACAACAGAUGAAAGGGUUUCAGUGCCGAUGGGCCUAUUACCCGGAAUUAAAUUCUCUCCCACCGACAAGGAACUGCUUUCCUUUUACUUGAGGAAUAAAAUAGCGGGCGAGGACUCUGAAUUCAGCAACAUCAUCCCUGAGAUCAAUUUGCGAGAACUCGAGCCUCGUGAUCUGCCUGAGUUCUUCUUCAGCGAACCUGAUUACAUGUCCCCCAACGGCGAUAGCUGCCACAGGACCACGAAUGAGGGCUUUUAUAGAAGCACAGGCAAGCCUCGUGAGAUCGAGGAUGAACUAUCGAAAGCUGUGAUUGGUGAGAAGAGAUAUAUGCCUUUCCACGAAGGUCGUGCGCCCGAACACAAGCUGACCAAGUAUGUCCUGCAUCAGUUUUCUCUCACCAAAACUGAACGCGCUAAACUGGCUACUAAUCGGGAGUUUGUUCUAAACCACCUAACAAUUAAGAAGGGUUCAACUAAGGCGCGUAACCCUAAACCCAAUUAUAAGAAGCGGAAGUAUGAUUCAAACUGCGAUAAAUUAGCUGAACAUGGUAUUCCUGGCUACAUCGCCUCCAAUUAUAAAGAUGAUCAAGCUGCUGCUGCUGCUAAUAUGAUUCCAGAGCCCGAAGAGCAUCUCGCAGACAAAGAUGGUCUGUUUGGCAGUGAGAAUCAAAAUGAAUGCGCCGAGUCAGAGUCUGCAAAUGGUUCUCGUCUUAUAAACAAUAAUGAUCCGUUUCAUGAUGAGGUUUCCUUUCAGACAGAAGGAAAUCUGAUAUCACCCUUUCAUCCAUCUAGCCUACGGGAUAUUCCUCUGAGAUCACCAGUGCACACAGGACUAGUGGGAGAUGUUGUGUAUGCCAAUAACUCUAUCCUUAUUGGCAUGCAAUGAUGAGUCGCAAUCUUCAGAUAAUCUGGAGUUUACGAUUCUUUUUCCCACAAAGUUCUUGAAUAAUUUCAUUGGUGACCAAGAUUAUUAUCCUCUGUAGAAACAACAUGCACUAUACUUUCAGUGACUCUAAUCUACUAGAGCCAUUGGGAGGAGUGUAUGAUAGCUAUAGUGGAGUAAGAAGUGAGAAGAACACUGAAUUACUCCAUGGAUCGGUAGUAGGUUUUUUCUGCGUUAGUACUGCAACAUAGAUAGCGAACCGCAACAUUUUAGUUAUAGGAGAACAUCGAUAGAGGCCUUGUAAACCACGAGGUCUUGGAAGGGUAGAACAUAACCCUUAUCUACUGGAGGAUUUGGAAUCUUGUUGAUAGUUGUAGAAAUUUAUGUCGGACAGGACAAACGACAAAGGUUAAGUCUGUUCUUGUUCUUUCGGCCAUUGCUCAGCAUUCCCAAGUAUUGGAAACUUCAAACUUGUUAAGUGAACAUGAGAACCACCGGCAAGUGCUAAUGUUUGAGAUGCCAUCUGGAACUCUACUCUUCUCUGACGAGUCUGAACCAAAAACAAAAAUGUAUUUUCUUAGAAGUAGUACUGUGGAGACCGCGUCUCUCCCAAUUGUCUUCAAAUAGUGUACUCUCUUAAUCAUAGGACACACCAACCUCAAUAUCAACUACCAUCCAUUCAUGUCUUCACACACGGGAGGUGCUCCGAGAAGAAUCCGACUGCAAAGCUGUAUCACAGGACAAGGUUAGGGAUGCUGCAGAGUAUUGUUUUGCUCUUCAUCUGAAAAUCAAGUCCUGGAAGCAUACGGUUUGAAGCAGGCAACAAUAGGGUUCUUUCAUGUUCUUGGAAGCGUCUCCUUGAAACCAUUAAUCAAGUCCCCGAUAUUUUGGUAACAAGUUCUAGCUCUAGCCUUGAUACCUAGGCUUCCGUUCUACCUCUGGCCUUGAUACCCGGGCUUCCGUUCUACCUCUAGCCUUCAUACUCAGGCUUCCGUUCUAGCUCUAGCCUUGAUACCCAGGCUUCCGUUCUACCUCUAGCCUUAAUACUCAGGCUCAAGCCUUAAUACUCAGGCUCAAGCCUUAAUACUCAGGCUUCCGUUCUAGCUCUAGCCUUGAUACCCAGGCUUCCGUUCUGGCUCUGGCCUUAAUACUCAGGCUUCCGUACUAGCUCUAGCCUUGAUACUCAGGCUUCCAUUCUAGCUCUAGCCUUAAUACUCGGGCUUCCAUUCUACCCCUAGCCUUAAUACUCAGGCAAUUGUUCUAGCUCUAGCCUUAAUUCUCAAGCUUUUGUUCCCAAGUUUCUAGCUCCACCCUUGUACUCGGGCUUUCGUUCCGCAGGCUGUUAUUCUUGAAGUGGCAUCAUACAUGAUCUGCUGCUACGUGGCUGCUGGAGUCUCAAUAUACAA